UACGUAGGUGGCAAGCGUUGUCCGGAAUUAUUGGGCGUAAAGCGCGCGCAGGCGGUCUCUUAAGUCUGAUGUGAAAGCCCCCGGCUCAACCGGGGAGGGUCAUUGGAAACUGGGAGACUUGAGUACAGAAGAGGAGAGUGGAAUUCCACGUGUAGCGGUGAAAUGCGUAGAUAUGUGGAGGAACACCAGUGGCGAAGGCGACUCUCUGGUCUGUAACUGACGCUGAGGCGCGAAAGCGUGGGUAGCAAACAGG
rnacentral:rRNA from 1 species